GACCAGGCCAUGGUCUUAGGUAUAAGCAAUUAUACAGCGAAACUGCGAAUGGCUCAUUAUAUAAGUUAUCGUUUAUUUGAUAGUACCUUACUACUUGGAUAACCGUGGUAAUUCUAGAGCUAAUACAUGCUAAAAAUCCCGACUUCGGAAGGGAUGUAUUUAUUAGAUUAAAAACCAAUGCCCUCUGGGCUCUCUGGUGAUUCAUGAUAACUUCUCGAAUCGCAUGGCCUUGCGCCGGCGAUGGUUCAUUCAAAUUUCUUCCCUAUCAACUUUCGAUGUUUGGGUAUUGGCCAAACAUGGUCGCAACGGGUAACGGAGGGUUAGGGCUCGACCCCGGAGAAGGAGCCUGAGAAACGGCUACUACAUCCAAGGAAGGCAGCAGGCGCGCAAAUUACCCAAUCCCGACACGGGGAGGUAGUGACAAUAAAUACUGAUACAGGGCUCUUUCGGGUCUUGUAAUUGGAAUGAGUACAAUUUAAAUCCCUUAACGAGGAACAAUUGGAGGGCAAGUCUGGUGCCAGCAGCCGCGGUAAUUCCAGCUCCAAUAGCGUAUAUUAAAGUUGUUGUGGUUAAAAAGCUCGUAGUUGAACCUUGGGCCUGGCUGGCCGGUCCGCCUCACCGCGUGUACUGGUCCGGCCGGGCCUUUCCCUCUGUGGAACCUCAUGCCCUUCACUGGGCGUGACGGGGAAACAGGACUUUUACUGUGAAAAAAUUAGAGUGCUCCAGGCAGGCCUAUGCUCGAAUACAUUAGCAUGGAAUAAUGAAAUAGGACGUGCGGUUCUAUUUUGUUGGUUUCUAGGACCGCCGUAAUGAUUAAUAGGGACAGUCGGGGGCAUCAGUAUUCAAUUGUCAGAGGUGAAAUUCUUGGAUUUAUUGAAGACUAACUACUGCGAAAGCAUUUGCCAAGGAUGUUUUCAUUAAUCAGGAACGAAAGUUAGGGGAUCGAAGACGAUCAGAUACCGUCGUAGUCUUAACCAUAAACUAUGCCGACUAGGGAUCGGACGAUGUAAAUAAUU
rnacentral:rRNA from 1 species